UUUUGAAAUUUUCAAAUUCAAAUUUCAGUUGGCAGUUCAUAAGCUGGUGAACUCGCAACUGAAUUGGUAGGGUUAUAUAGUGGCAGUGCCAUACAAUGGUAAAAAUAUAGACAUGUUUCUUCAAACCCAAGGGUCAAAUCUGAUUUUGGAAUGUCAAAAACAUACUGUUACGGGUCUACUGGAUGCCCUGAUUUCUAAUGUACUGAGCUGUGAUGUAUGGUGCAGUCAAAUGAAUGAGUUUGUCCCAAAGGUUAGACAAGGAAAUAAAACUGUUUUUGAUCUUUUAAUGACAUUUGUAGUUAGAUUUAAAUAUAUUUUACCACAAAAUAACAAAUCUGUAUAUAAAUCUCAUGAGCAUAUUAUUAUCAUUAUACAGGUGUUAUUAUAUGUUCAUGGGUAUUGGCCUGCACAUUAUACAAUUAUUGCAUUUUGUGGAGGUGUACACGAGACUAUACUGACCUGGUCAAGUGUUUGUUCAUCGAGGCCUCAAUAAAUUUAUUGCAUUUUGUGGAGGUGUACACGAGACUAUAAUAUUUAUGGACCUGGUCAAGUGUUUGUUCAUCGAGGCCUCAAUAAAAGGCGAUGAUUGUAUGAUGUACAUGUAUAUAUUUUUUUGUUCUAAUGAAAAUAUUGACUAGUUGAUAUAAGUUUUUCCUGGAUGGCCAAAGUGAUGACCUUUAUGUAAAAUACUAGCUUUGUUAAGUAACGUUCAAUAUAAGUAAUGAAAUUUUUAAAAAAAGAACACUUUUUUUUCUUCUCAAAUUUUAUCCUCACCAACAUUAAUUAUGCUUUAAUUCUCGGCCUGGUCAGAUUCGGAAAAAACACCAAUGUAAUAUUUGGGAAAAAACAGCCCAUCAGAUGACACAAUGACACCUAUAAUGCAUAUAGAUUUUUUUCAUUAGAAUAAUAGUGAACGCAGGCAUUAUUUCCUAUCUACCUGGUACAUCAAUCUGUACUUGAUAUUUAUAGUAUCUAUAUUUUAACGGGAAAACGAUAAUUGAGCAUAAAUAUGUGAAAACCCAUCUUUAAUUGGAAGUAAGAAUAUCUUCAUCAUUUGCAAUAUAUUGUUAUCUUUAUUGUUUUCUUUUUUAUCACUUUUUUCUGUGCAGUGAUCUUGUGUAUAAAUCAUUCUAAACUGUAAUUGUAUUGAUUAAAGACAUUUAAAACUUG